rnacentral:rRNA from 1 species
UACGGAGGAUCCGAGCGUUAUCCGGAAUUACUGGGCGUAAAGAGUUGCGUAGGUGGCAGAGUAAGCAAGCAGUGAAAUCGUGUGGCUCAACCAUACACCCAUUGCUUGAACUGCUCAGCUAGAGGAUGAGAGAGGUUAUUGGAAUUCCCAGUGUAGGAGUGAAAUCCGUAGAUAUUGGGAGGAACACCGAUGGCGUAGGCAGAUAACUGGCUCAUUCCUGACACUCAGGCACGAAAGCGUGGGGAGCAAACGGG